GGAAGGAUCAUUAUCGUACAAAAGUGUGAGGGGCACGCAAAGGCUGUCGCUGACUCAAAGUUGUGCACGCCUGAGGGUGUCCUCUCACACAAUAAUCCAUCUCACCCUUUGUGCACCACCGCGUGGGCACCCUUCGGGAUCAUCUCGGGGGAGUUGCUCGCGUUUUCACACAAACCCCCCCUUUUAAAAGUGUAGAAUGACCACAUUUAUGCGCUAACCCCGCAAUCAAUACAACUUUCAACAACGGAUCUCUUGGCUCUCGCAUCGAUGAAGAACGCAGCGAAAUGCGAUACGUAAUGUGAAUUGCAGAAUUCAGUGAAUCAUCGAAUCUUUGAACGCACCUUGCGCCCCUUGGUAUUCCGAGGGGCACACCCGUUUGAGUGUCGUGAAAACAUCAACCUCCUUGGUUCCUUCUGGAGACCAAAGCAGGCUUGGACUUUGGAGGCCUUUGCUGGCACUUCUCUCUUUUGAAGGCCAGCUCCUCUUAAACAAAUUAGCAGGGUCCUCUUUGCCAAUCCUCGACAUGUGAUAAGAUGUUUCCAUGUCUUGGUUUCUGGCUCUGUCACCUUUGGGACUCGCUUCUAACCGUCUUUGGGCCUUGCGUCCGGACAAUGUUCGAGCAUGUCUCCCUUCUCGGGAAGCUCCCUCGACCCCACGAACCCUUGACCUCAAAUCGGGUGAGACUACCCGCUGAACUUAAGCAUAUCAAUAAGCGGAGGAAG
rnacentral:sRNA from 1 species